UACGGGGGGGGCAAGCGUUGUUCGGAAUUACUGGGCGUAAAGGGCGCGUAGGCGGCCUGCUAAGUCGGGCGUGAAAUCCCUCGGCUCAACCGAGGAACUGCGUCCGAUACUGGUGGGCUUGAAUCCGGGAGAGGGAUGUGGAAUUCCAGGUGUAGCGGUGAAAUGCGUAGAUAUCUGGAGGAACACCGGUGGCGAAGGCGGCAUCCUGGACCGGUAUUGACGCUGAGGCGCGAAAGCUAGGGGAGCGAACGGG
rnacentral:rRNA from 1 species